UACGAAGGGUGCAAACGUUGCUCGGAAUUACUGGGCGUAAAGGGCGCGUAGGCGGCCGCCUAAGUCAGACGUGAAAUCCCUCGGCUCAACCGGGGAACUGCGUCUGAUACUGGGUGGCUUGAAUCCGGGAGAGGGAUGCGGAAUUCCAGGUGUAGCGGUGAAAUGCGUAGAUAUCUGGAGGAACACCGGUGGCGAAGGCGGCAUCCUGGACCGGCAUUGACGCUGAGGCGCGAAAGCCAGGGGAGCAAACGGG
rnacentral:rRNA from 1 species